rfam:Smithella sp. SDB scaffold-11854, whole genome shotgun sequence.
AACCCUUUUAAUUUAAUCCGGUGAGAUUGAAAAAGGAAAAUGUAAUGAAAAAUUCAUUAAAAAUCAUCAAGCCUUUCUCCAUUCGGGGAAAGGCUUUUUUUUA